GAUGAACGCUGGCGGCGUGCCUAAUACAUGCAAGUCGAGCGAACGGACGAGAAGCUUGCUUCUCUGAUGUUAGCGGCGGACGGGUGAGUAACGCGUGGAUAACCUACCUAUAAGACUGGGAUAACUUCGGGAAACCGGAGCUAAUACCGGAAAAUAUUUUGAACCGCAUGGUUCAAAAGUGAAAGACGGUCUUGCUGUCACUUAUAGAUGGAUCCGCGCUGCAUUAGCUAGUUGGUAAGGUAACGGCUUACCAAGGCAACGAUGCAUAGCCGACCUGAGAGGGUGAUCGGCCACACUGGAACUGAGACACGGUCCAGACUCCUACGGGAGGCAGCAGUAGGGAAUCUUCCGCAAUGGGCGAAAGCCUGACGGAGCAACGCCGCGUGAGUGAUGAAGGUCUUCGGAUCGUAAAACUCUGUUAUUAGGGAAGAACAUAUGUGUAAGUAACUGUGCACAUCUUGACGGUACCUAAUCAGAAAGCCACGGCUAACUACGUG
rnacentral:rRNA from 1 species